UACGGGAGGCAGCAGUGGGGAAUAUUGGACAAUGGGCGAAAGCCUGAUCCAGCCAUGCCGCAUGAGUGAAGAAGGCCUUCGGGUUGUAAAGCUCUUUUAGUGAGAAAGAUAAUGACGGUACUCACAGAAGAAGUCCUGGCUAACUCCGUGCCAGCAGCCGCGGUAAUACGGAGGGUGCUAGCGUUAAUCAGAAUUACUGGGCGUAAAGAGCACGUAGGUGGUUUUUUUAAGUCAGAUGUGAAAUCCCUGGGCUUAACCUAGGAACUGCAUUUUGAAACUGAAAUACUAGAGUAUCGUAGAGGGAGGUAGAAUUCUAGGUGUAGCGGUGAAAUGCGUAGAUAUCUGGAGGAAUACCUGUGGCGAAAGCGGCCUCCUAAACGAAUACUGACACUGAGGUGCGAAAGCGUGGGGAGCAAACAGGGAUUAGAUACC
rnacentral:rRNA from 1 species